AGACAGGGAGAGGGGGCGGGGCCAACGGCCGACGUCCCGUCGGCUCGCGCGAGAGUUCCCGCCGCCUCGCUCCCCCCCUCCACUUCUGUCUCCGGCUCUGUGUGUUCGCCUGCGCACUUUCGACGCCGGAAAUAAGAACUACUCGCCUCCGCUAGAGGGGGACUCUGGCUGUAAAGCCGCCCUCCUCCCUCUCUCUCGUUCUAUAGUGGGGCGAUUAUUGCUCUCUCUCACCCCAAGCUCGGGAGCGGUGACGAAUCCGCGGAAGAGAAACCGCAGCUAGCCCCACAGAAGGGAAGGAGAGAGGCGCAUUUUCGCCGCGGAAUGGCCUAAAUUUAAAUAUAUUUACAUAAUAAAUCGUAACGUAGCGGAGGGGGAAAAGGAAGAACGUGAGUCGCUCUGGUGCACCGCGCUAUUUUUUGAAGGUUAUGCCGAAUCUGCUAAAGCCAACUACAGCUGGAGCCAAGUAGAAAUGAAAGGAAGAAGGAGAAAAACACGACUCUCUCAUCCGCUGCCAGCACUUUUGUCACAGGGCCAAGGGUAAAUUGUGCAGAAUCCACACAGCUAAUCCAUCACCUGACAUUUUUCCCCUAAGGAAGGCAGUAAAAAAAACAAACAGUGACUCACCUUCAGCACUUUCUUCAUUGUGAAAAAUGUAAAUAAAUUGAAA